GAUGAACGCUGGCGGCGUGCUUAACACAUGCAAGUCGAGCGAAGCACUUAUGAAAGAUUCUUCGGAUGAUUUCAUUUGUGACUGAGCGGCGGACGGGUGAGUAACGCGUGGGUAACCUGCCUCAUACAGGGGGAUAACAGUUGGAAACGACUGCUAAUACCGCAUAAGCGCACAGUACCGCAUGGUACAGUGUGAAAAACUCCGGUGGUAUGAGAUGGACCCGCGUCUGAUUAGCUUGUUGGUGGGGUAACGGCCUACCAAGGCAACGAUCAGUAGCCGACCUGAGAGGGUGACCGGCCACAUUGGGACUGAGACACGGCCCAAACUCCUACGGGAGGCAGCAGUGGGGAAUAUUGCACAAUGGGGGAAACCCUGAUGCAGCAACGCCGCGUGAGUGAAGAAGUAUUUCGGUAUGUAAAGCUCUAUCAGCAGGGAAGAAAAUGACGGUACCUGACUAGGAAGCCCCGGCUAACUACGUGCCAGCAGCAGCCGCCG
rnacentral:rRNA from 1 species